GGUGGCAGUGACACACUGCAAGAAAGGUCGUGGUCUCAUUAAGAUCAAUGGCUGCCCAAUCGAACUCAUCGAGCCUGAGAUUCUCCGUUUCAAGGCAUAUGAGCCAAUCCUCCUUCUCGGAAGGCACCGUUUCGCCGGCGUCGAUAUGAGGAUCAGAGUGAAGGGAGGAGGACACACUUCUCAGAUCUAUGCCAUCAGACAGAGUAUCGCGAAGGCUUUGGUUGCAUACUAUCAGAAAUAUGUGGAUGAACAGAGUAAGAAGGAGAUCAAGGAUAUUCUUGUCCGUUAUGAUCGUACUCUUCUUGUUGCUGAUCCUAGACGCUGUGAGCCUAAGAAGUUUGGUGGUCGUGGUGCUCGUGCUAGGUUCCAGAAAUCUUAUCGUUAAAUUAUUUUCUAUUUACUGUACUUUUUUCUUUCGGAUAAUGAUAGUCUUUCAUGAUUUUCAGUACUCUCUGAAUUGCUAUGCUCUUUUUUUAAUUGAGAUUGCGAUUUUAAUGCAAUUCUUACAAAACAGUUUUGCUUAAUUUUAUUGUGUGCAUGCUUAUUAUAAUUACUGUAUUUUUUAUCCUUUUUAACUGGAAUUUGUUUGCGUUUGAAUUGGUAGUACAGUUGAAAUGAUGUUUGUUUUUAGGAACGAAUUUAGGUGUAAAUGCAAUUGCAAAGUUGUGAAGGUUAGGGGUAAUGAUAAGUUGUUGACAGUGUACACUCAUGAAGAAUGAAUUAGACAUUCAUAAAAAUGAAGAAGAAAAUUGAUAAAUAUAUUUGCAAGGGCUCUGACCUUUGAAUCUCAACAAAUUCUUUGAUAUCCUUCUCUGUAGUAGCCACUGAUACAUUGCUUACCUUAACUGUUUUUAUCUUCCAAAAGUAAAAAAUAAAUCAACUUUUAGAUUUCUCCAUCAAGAGAUAACUGAAAUAGAUAAACUUCUCAGUAAUUUGGCAUCAGACAAAUACCAACACAGGGCUUGUUUUGAAGGAUUAACCAAAAUUAAAGUCAAAAUUAAUAAAUACAAUUUGUCAAAUGAAACCGAAAUUUGUUUUCUUUGAGCCAGUUUGAGUCCUCUAUGCAUUUAUGGAUCUGUAGUCUAUAAUAAAAUAGUAUUAUCUGUAUUCUUAUUAUUAGUUUUCUGAUGAUGUUGUUGCAUAUGGUUUCGAGUUUUGUUGCAAAAGGCAUGCAUAUAUUCUACAAUCACAAUGAUAACCAAUACUAUUAUGUAACAAUUUCUUCCUCACAUCUGAAACUUGAAUUGUCCAAUUUGGGGUAACUGUAGAUUGGGGAAUAGCUCCAACCCCUUUAUCUGAAUGGUCUACUGGAGCCUGCACAUCAAAUGCUAAAAGUUAGGAAACAAAUGUUUAUUGAAGCUCAUGAACUAUACGCUGAUCCAAACGAACAAUUUAAUUAAACGCUUCUAGCAUAAACAUGUAAGUGAUUACUAUAAGUUAUUUCUAUGAUAAAAAUCAAAUUAAAUUGAAUUGUUUUCAUAUAAGGCGUUAGUUAUCAAAUAUAUAUAUUUUAUUAUUUAUUAAUGUUAUUUUUUAUUAUUAUAUUCAUAAUAAUAUUUUUUAUUUUAAAUUAUAUCAAUUAGACAAUCACUCGGUAAUCAUUCUAUAUUCAGUAGCCGUUCCAAAUAUUCGGUAGUCAUUCAAUUAGUCAAUCACUCAGCAAUUAGUCAAUCAUAUUUGGUCAAUCAUAUUUGCUUGAGAGGUAAUAAUUGGUGCGUUUGUUUCAGAAAAAAAUUUAUUCUUUGAAAUCAAAAAUUAUUUUCUUAGGGUUUAAGAGAUGUUUGUUUCAGAUUUUUUUUAAAUUAUUUUGUUAGAAAAAUUAUUUUUUGUUUAAUAUAUAGAGAUAUGUACAUUGAUAUUGGUAUGUGGAGAGCAUGUGGUAUGAGUAUAACAUUUAAAUAUUUUAAUGUAAAUAAGGCUUUUAAAUAGGCUUCUAGGUCAGACCAAACUUCUAAAAAGGUCAAGCCAGACUUUUCUAAAAGGUUAGGUCAGGCCAGAAAAAAAAAAACAUAUGAUAUGUCGUAGCCAGGCUUAGGCCUAAAAAAUUAAUCGUAUGACAAACUCGUGUCUUUCAAAGCUUGACUUGACCUAUUCCCACCUCUACUUGUAAAAGUCUCAUUUUGAAUAACUUUAAAAUGAAUUAAAAUUUCUCUAAUGAGAAUUGUGAGAGAGAUGUAUAUCUUCUUUGAGUUCUUGAAUUAGAAUUUGUUUGAAUCUUAUCAAUGUAUUUCUUACCAUUGUGGCGAUUCCACAUUGACUUAUCAAUCAUCCUUGAUUGUGGCGUCUUCUUAAUUUUCUUUAUCUAACCUAUGUUUAUUUGUUUUUGUUUUUUUCCUUUUAUUUUAUCACUUUAUCUCAAUAAAUCACUUGGGCAGAUCUUCAAUCUCAUGUAGAAGUACUCAAAUCCACAUCACUCUUACUUAUUUUCGAUUCUAUAAAAUUUAUGUAUAUUUUUUUUCAAUAAAAAAUAAGUUAGAGAUAAAAAGUAUGCAUACUUAGUUUAGUUUGUGAAUUAAAGAACAACAAAUUUAAUAAAAACGUCUCACAUUCAAAUAAAAAAAAAAAUUAACAUAACAACUAAUUAACUGCUAUUUUCUUAUAAAAAAUGGAAGAUCAUAAAAUAUUAAAAAAGACAUCUUAAUUUUUUGGUGAAAUAUAAAGGUGCAGCAUCUUGUUUUAUUUAUGUGUUUCUUUCUACAAAUUCAUUAAUAAAAAUUGAACAAAUCUCACACAAUUAAUCUCUGACUUUUAAAUUAAAAGAUACAUUUAAAAAAAAAUCAUAGAACAUUUAGUCAACACUAAACCGCCAAUUUAAGUAUGUUUUAAAAGUUUUAAGCUAUAAUAAAAUAGGAGACAUUAAAUUUGUGUUGAUAUUUUGUUCUCUUCAAUUUGAUUUUAUGGUGAAAUCAAAAUGUCCCACGUCUUGUUUUAAUUUUAUGUUUGGUUGUACAAAUAUACACCAUAUAUACAAUACAUUCAUAGAACAUAUAGUUAGGCUCUGAUUGAGGAGAUGAAAGCGAUUGAUAUUAAAAUUCUUGUUUUAAUGGAUGCAAAUACAAUUUUAUGUAUGUUGUGCUUGUGGUAACAAGAAAAAGUGGUACAUCAUUUUGGUACAUGAAACUUCUCUAUGUUUAUUUGGUAUGUGUAUUUCGUCGUCUAGGGAUAUCUUUGGUCAUGUAUGGGAAUUGGCUAUUCUUUUUUUGUUUUUCUUGUAGCCUUCUAAGCCCCUAAAUGUAAAGUUAUGAAGUGAUUUAUUAUUAUUUGACACUUGUGAGAAAUUUAAGUAUUUUAAAAUGAGUGUAUUAUUUCUAAGAAAAAUUAUUAUUACCAGGGAUUAGACACAUGAAAUAGGUCCGUCGAUUUUGACACUAGUAAUUACAUGAUUUCUGCCAAAGUCGAAAUGAUGAUAUUUAGUUAAUUGAUAAAACCAUAUUUUGUAAGAUUUAAAAAAAAUUUAUUUUAUUUUAUCUUAUUUUGUAAUUUUGUUUCAGAUUUUUUUUUAUUUCAUUUAAUUAUGAGAAAAUAAAAGAAUACAAACUGUUAAAAUCUUGUCAAAUUUAAAUGCAAAAAUAUAUAAGAUCCAAUCUAAAAUGAUACAAGUCUAACAUUUGAGCCAUAUAUAAUAAUACAAUAUGAGUAUAAAUUAUCAUAUAUUUAUCGUUUGUUGGUCGUACCCUGGAUUUAAAAGAGAAAGAAUACUUGCCAUAAAAAUAGAAACAAAAUUUGUUUCUAUUAUCUUGUAUUAGAGAUAAUAGCAAAAAAAAAAAAAAAUAUAUAUAUAUAUAUAUAUAUAUAUAUAUAUAUAUAUAUAUAUAUAUAAAAGGCGUGCAGAAUUCGAAUUAAAAUCAUAAACACUUUAAACUUUGGACUGUAUAGUGAGAACAAAGUGUCUUGUAUUUUGAAAAAAAAUAUAUUUUUUUUAGAAUUUUUUUUAAUUGAUGAAUACUUUUAUUAUUUAUUUUAUUUUCUGUAUGUCAGUAAAUAAUUAAGCUAUCUUCUAUAAUAUUUGGUGAAUCUUGUGAUUAACAUAUUUUUUAAAUAUAUCUUAGAUUUAAUUUUAGUUUUAUUUUAAAUUUUUGUUGUUUAUCUCAAUUAAAUUAUUAUGUUGUUCUAUUUAUAUGUUUGAGACGGUAAACAUUUGCAUACUUUAAUCAAUCAGUUGACUAGUGAUCAGUUAUAAUUAUUUGAUAGAUAUAUAUGAUGUUUGAGAUUAAUAUUUUUGUAUGAUGAAAUAUAUAUAUUAAUCUUUCAACAUCCUGGUUCUUUAUGCUUUCUCUUGAUUAUAUUUUUUAUAUGAUCAAUCAAAUAAUUAAUUUAAAGAAAAUAAUAUUAGAUUGAAAUAUCAAUAUUUGUUAAUAGUUUUAAUGAGGGGUUGAUAAUUGAAAAACAAACAAGGAAUCAUAUAAAACUAUUAUUUUGGGUAUUGGUGCUACAAGCCAUGACAUUAAAUUUUAUCGCCGUUUAUUUAAAGUUGUGUCGUUAUCUAUUUUUAUUUUAAUUUGUUACACUUUUGUGAUAUUUUUAUUAUCAUAAAAAAAUCAUAAUUUUUAUUAAUAUAAAUAAUAUAAAACAUUAAUUAAUUUGAUAGUUAUUCAAUAAAUUAAUGUGAAUACAAUAAUAUCAUAUAUUACUAUUUGACAAACUCGUAUAUUUAUCAAUUUUGCGCAACAUUUAUUACAAUAACACACGCAUUUACCUAUUUGUAUAUGGAUUAGGUUACAUAUUAUAUUAUUUUCAUUUCUAUCCUAUGUAAUGUAUUCAUAUUUGCCAAUCAAAAAUAAAUUGUCAUGUAGAUGAACAUUUUUUUGUGCAAUCAUGGUAGAUGGACAUUAUACUACUUGUUUGUACAAUAGAGACCACAUUUCAUUUGUCUAAACAAUGGUAGAUUUAUUCAUUUACUUUUAUAAUUGGAAAGAUUAAGUUUAUAUGAUGUCAAAAAAAGCAGUUUAUAUGUUGUCAAAAAAAUUGAAUGUAAUUUAGUUAAAUAAAAAUUAACAAGAUUUUAAAUAAAAAAAAAUAUUAUUAAAAUAAGUGACACUAAUAAUCAUAAACAUCUCUUUAAAAUUUACAAUUUGAUCAUUGAUGUUAUCCGAUCAGAUUCUCACUACUAAACAAACAUCAUAACAAUAUUAUAAAAAAUUGAAUUUAAUGAAAAAAUAUCGUUGGAAUAAUAUAAUAUUACACUGUACCAACAAUUAGAAAAUAUAAUGAAUUAGUUAAACUACUAGGAUGAGAUAAAAUGCAAUAUACCACAAAUCCUAUAAAGAUUUUGGUAAGUGUGCGAGAGUAUAUAAAAAUACAUAAAUUAAAAUUAGUUAUAUAAAAAAAACAUAAUAAAAUAUUUAUACACAUUAGCACAUUAAAGAAAUAAAACUAACAUAAAUAUUUUUAUAUUAUCAACCAAUUAUAAAACACAAUUUACAUAAAUUUUAAGUAGAUGUAAUAAAUUAAGUAACAAAAAGUUAGUUACAAUAAAAUUAAGUAAACAAAAAGUUAAAUACAAUAAAUUUAAGUAAAAAAUAGUUAGAUAUAAUAAAAUUGUCAAAUUCUUUUAAGGAUUAAACGAACAUUGACCAAUAAUAGGGGUGGUCAUGGGUACGACACAAAUUCGCUCACUCAAAUCAAUCAAAUUCGUUUAUUGAUCUAACUCAUCAAAGUUUAAGCUUAUUUCUGAAUAAAUUAAUUAAAACUUAAUUAUGUUUGAUUCGGGUAACAUAUUUAAUAUUUUAAACUCACGAACCCGAAAACUCAAUCAAUUAACGGAUAAUAUAUAUUUUUAUUUAUUUUUUUACUAUUGAUGUAUAGUUAAAAUUUAAUUGUUGGACUAUAUUUGAGAGUUUGUUGUUAAUUUAAUUAUUUGAAGUGUUUUAUUGUGUCUGUGAAUAAAUUUUAAGCAUUGAAUGAUACAUUGCGAUAUAAUUUUAUUAUUUUUUUAGAUGUUUCUAAUAUUUAAAUUUAAUUACAUUUAAAAUAAAUAAAUUAUUUACUAUCCGUGAAUCCAAUUCAACCCGUAAAUACUCAGGUUGGUUUGAUUUAAGUUAGAUGAAAAAAUUAUGAAUUGAGCUUUCAAUGCAAUAUAAAUAAAAUUGAUCGAUUCACUGUGUCAGAUUUAGUAAAAAAAGACUCAAUCUAAUUUAUGUACAUCAUUGAUCAAUAACAUAAUUAUUUUUUUACAAUGUCAAUGUUAGUAUGUAUGUAUUAAAUCUGAAAUAAAUUUAUGAAUUCAAUAUAAAUUAGUUAAAACGAUUUUCCUAAAUAAAUAUCAAAAUUGUAUUAAAUUAUUUAUUAAUUUUUGUUUCAAUAAAAGUAGAGUAAAAUAAGUCCAAAAAAAAAAAAAAAUCAAUCAAAUUUAAAAUACAAGGCACUUUACGUACUUGGAGCUUGUAGGGUAAUUUCAAUAAUUGAAGGGGCUCUUCAGUACUUUACAAAUUCCUAACCGUUAUAUAUAACCGUCACUCUGAAAUCCCAAACCCUAAUUUAUGUUUGCAUCUAUUUGCAUUGGUGUAGUUUGCGGCGGCGCGAGGGUCUAAAAUGGAGCAGGUGCAGUGCUUCGGCCGUAAGAAGAAUGCGGUGGCAGUGACACACUGCAAGAAAGGUCGUGGUCUCAUUAAGAUCAAUGGCUGCCCAAUCGAACUCAUCGAGCCUGAGAUUCUCCGUUUCAAGGCCUAUGAGCCCAUUCUCCUUCUCGGAAGGCACCGUUUCGCCGGUGUCGAUAUGAGGAUCAGAGUGAAGGGAGGAGGACAUACUUCUCAGAUCUAUGCCAUCAGACAGAGC
rnacentral:lncRNA from 1 species